CUACGGGGUGCUGCCGUGAGGAAUAUUGCACAAUGGGGGGAACCCUGAUGCAGCAACGCCGCGUGGAGGAUGACGCAUUUCGGUGUGUAAACUCCUUUUAUAUGUCAAGAAAAUGACGGUAGCAUAUGAAUAAGCGCCGGCUAACUCCGUGCCAGCAGCCGCGGUAAUACGGAGGGCGCAAGCGUUACUCGGAAUCACUGGGCGUAAAGGACGCGUAGGCGGGUUGAAAAGUCAGGUGUGAAAGCCUACAGCUUAACUGUAGAACUGCACUUGAAACUCUCAACCUAGAGUAUGGGAGGGGCAGAUGGAAUUAGUGGUGUAGGGGUAAAAUCCGUAGAUAUCACUAGGAAUACCUAAAGCGAAGGCGAUCUGCUGGAACAUUACUGACGCUAAGGCGUGAAAGCGUGGGGAGCAAACAGGAUUAGAUACCCUUGUAGUC
rnacentral:rRNA from 1 species